rnacentral:lncRNA from 14 species
CUGGAAUGGGAUUGCCAGAAAGAGAGCGAGAGAAAGACUUCUUUUCACAUGAAACAACGUGUGCUACAGGGGAUUUUGCUUUCCCAAGGAAGAUUAUUAAGUGUUUGCUCAUUGUCCUGUGCUAAAGGAGGCAGCUCACAGCAGCCAGGAACUCAGCAGCUGGAUCCUGCAAAGUGCCACAGAAAACUCUCCAGUACCAAAACCAUCGAGGACCACACCCAUGUCAAAAGGCAUUGAGGAUGCUGACACAGCAGCAUACCAAGCAGCUUAGGAGAACUGUCCCCAUAUCACCUGGCUCUGUCAUGGAGGCGUUCUUGGCAUAUUGUGAAGUUGAAUGGACGUCCCCCUGCAUGUCACCCUCACCAGUGAUCUGUCCUUGAACAAAAACAGGAGGCAGCCAGGGGCCCCCACCACUGCUGGGCACAGAUUCACCCUGGGGUGCAAAAACUCCCAUUGCUGCUCCUUGAGCCAGCCUAGCACCUCAUUGGCUUUGUGACCUCUCCACUCCAGAUCCUUGUGCUGAAGCUGUCUUGCCAUGGAUUUGACAUGCUGCCUACUCACCCAAGGAACAGUAUCACUGGAAAAGCUUUGGAUGUCCAUUUCCCCAUGAGUACAAGUGCUUUCUUUACAACAAAGAAGAUGAAGCUCUGCAAACCGGAGACUGGUGUGUUUCUAAACCCCAUGUGCCCCCGAAAUACCCACCUACUGCCCGCAGCACCCAUCUGCUUUAAUUAGUUUUGCUGUGUUUGGUUAUGGGGUUGUUUUUUUUUUUUCUUGCUUUCUUUCUUUUUUCUUCACCUUUUGCUCUUCAUCUUUCCUUAUUGACCUCCAUCAGAAAUAUUUAGUUCAUGAGUCCCAGUCACCUCCUGCCUGAGCACUGAUAGGUGAAAAAUUAUUUCUGUUUCCCUAUGAGAUCUUCGCAGAAAAUGUGUUGUUCAUAACAGGGAUUUGUUCUAAAGUAAAAAAAUCACUGACAUUAAACCACCUCCUGGUUCCCAGUUAUUCCUUAAUAAAACAAUUUUGAAAAGUCUUUCA